rnacentral:rRNA from 1 species
AAGUCGUCAUGGCCCCUAUGUCCAGGGCUACACACGUGCUACAAUGGGCGAUACAGAGUGACGCGAAGCCGCGAGGUGGAGCAAAUCGCAGAAAAUCGCUCUCAGUUCGGAUUGGAGUCUGAAACCCGACUCCAUGAAGGUGGAAUCGCUAGUAAUCGCGCAUCAGCAUGGCGCGGUGAAUACGUUCCCGGGCCUU